rnacentral:rRNA from 1 species
AUCAUGGCUCAGGAUGAACGCUAGCGGCAGGCUUAACACAUGCAAGUCGAGGGGUAUCACGCUUUCGGGCGUGAGAGACCGGCGCACGGGUGCGUAACGCGUAUACAAUCUACCUUUUACAGAGGGAUAGCCCAGAGAAAUUUGGAUUAAUACCUCAUAGUAUUUUCGAAUGGCAUCAUUUGAUUAUUAAAGUUCCAACGGUAAAAGAUGAGUAUGCGUCCCAUUAGCUAGAUGGUAAGGUAACGGCUUACCAUGGCAACGAUGGGUAGGGGUCCUGAGAGGGAGAUCCCCCACACUGGUACUGAGACACGGACCAGACUCCUACGGGAGGCAGCAGUGAGGAAUAUUGGACAAUGGGCGCAAGCCUGAUCCAGCCAUGCCGCGUGCAGGAAGACGGUCCUAUGGAUUGUAAACUGCUUUUAUACAGGAAGAAACACCUCUACGUGUAGAGACUUGACGGUACUGUAUGAAUAAGCAUCGGCUAACUCCGUG